GAUGAACGCUGGCGGCGUGCCUAAUACAUGCAAGUCGAGCGAACAGAUGAGGAGCUUGCUCCUCUGACGUUAGCGGCGGACGGGUGAGUAACACGUGGAUAACCUACCUAUAAGACUGGGAUAACUUCGGGAAACCGGAGCUAAUACCGGAUAAUAUAUUGAACCGCAUGGUUCAAUAGUGAAAUACGGUUUUGCUGUCACUUAUAGAUGGAUCCGCGCCGCAUUAGCUAGUUGGUAAGGUAACGGCUUACCAAGGCAACGAUGCGUAGCCGACCUGAGAGGGUGAUCGGCCACACGGGAACUGAGACACGGUCCAGACUCCUACGGGAGGCAGCAGUAGGGAAUCUUCCGCAAUGGGCGAAAGCCUGACGGAGCAACGCCGCGUGAGUGAUGAAGGUCUGCGGAUCGUAAAACUCUGUUAUUAGUGAAGAACAAAUGUGUAAGUAACUAUGCACGUCUUGACGGUACCUAAUCAGAAAGCCACGGCUAACUACGUG
rnacentral:rRNA from 1 species